rnacentral:rRNA from 1 species
GACAGAGGCCUCAAGCGUUAGGCGGAAUCACUGGGCUUAAAGCGUGUGUAGGCGGAUCGUUAAGUGUCUUGUGAAAUCCCACGGCUCACCCGUGGAACGGCUGGGCAUACUGGCGAUCUUGGGCCAACUAGGGGCAACUGGAACAAGCGGUGGAGCGGUGAAAUGCGUAGAUAUCGCCUGGAACGCCGAAGGUGAAAACAGUCUGCUGGGGGCGUGCCGACGCUGAGACACGAAAGCCAGGGGAGCGAACGGG